GAUGAAGAACGCAGCGAAAUGCGAUACUUGGUGUGAAUUGCUGAAUCCCGUGAACCAUCAAGUUUUUGAACGCAAGUUGCGCCCGAAGCCAUUAGGCCGAGGGCACGCCUGCCUGGGUGUCACACAUUGUUGCCCCAAUGCCAAUCGCCUCACUUUGUAGGUAUUUGCUUGGGGUGAAUGUUGGCCUCCCGUGAGCUCUGUCUCACGGUUGGUUGAAAAUCGAGUGCAUGGUGUCGGGUGUACCAUGAUGGAUGGUGGUUGAGUGAUGCUCGAGGCCAAUCAUGGGUAACUCCACCAGAAUUGUGCUCGGUGACCCACAUGCGUCCCUUGGAUGCUCCCUAAGGAGACCUUAGGUCAGGCGGGGCUACCCGCUGAGUUUAAGCAUAUCAAUAAGCGGAGGA
rnacentral:misc_RNA from 1 species